rnacentral:rRNA from 1 species
UACAGAGGGGGCAAGCGUUAUUCGGAAUUAUUGGGCGUAAAGGGCGCGUAGGCGGCUUGGCGAGUGGAAGGUGAAAUCCCUCGGCUUAACCGAGGAACUGCCCUCCAAACUGCUUCGCUUGAGACCGGGAGAGGUGAGUGGAAUUCCCAGUGUAGCGGUGAAAUGCGUAGAUAUUGGGAGGAACACCAGUGGCGAAGGCGGCUCACUGGACCGGAACUGACGCUGAUGCGCGAAAGCGUGGGGAGCAAACGGG